GAUGAACGCUGGCGGCGUGCCUAAUACAUGCAAGUCGAGCGAACGGACGAGAAGCUUGCUUCUCUGAUGUUAGCGGCGGACGGGUGAGUAACACGUGGAUAACCUACCUAUAAGACUGGGAUAACUUCGGGAAACCGGAGCUAAUACCGGAUAAUAUUUUGAACCGCAUGGUUCAAAAGUGAAAGACGGUCUUGCUGUCACUUAUAGAUGGAUCCGCGCUGCAUUAGCUAGUUGGUAAGGUAACGGCUUACCAAGGCAACGAUGCAUAGCCGACCUGAGAGGGUGAUCAGCCACACUGGAACUGAGACACGGUCCAGACUCCUACGGGAGGCAGCAGUAGGGAAUCUUCCGCAAUGGGCGAAAGCCUGACGGAGCAACGCCGCGUGAGUGAUGAAGGUCUUCGGAUCGUAAAACUCUGUUAUUAGGGAAGAACAUAUGUGUAAGUAACUGUACACAUCUUGACGGUACCUAAUCAGAAAGCCACGGCUAACUACGUG
rnacentral:rRNA from 1 species